GUUGAAACACCGGUUCUCGUAAGGUCACCAAAGUUAAGCAAUGUCGAACCUGGUCAGUACUUAGAUAGGUGACCUCUUGAGAAUACCAAAUGCUGUAAG